AUUCAAGGGAGGUUGAUUUCCUUUAUUUUUGCAACUAAGAGAUACAUUAGGUGGAUUACUGGAGUAGAGAUUCUUGGGAGACAGAUGUGACAAACUAUUUUUGUGGAAUUGAGGAUUUUAUUAUUAUUUUAUGGCAUUAAACUUUGUAUUGGAGAAUUAUUUUGAGGAUGUUUUGUAUUUGGUGAAUUAGAGCUCUGACUUUUGUAAUCAGCUUCAAGGUUGCUAGUUUCUUUUAUUUAAUA